rnacentral:lncRNA from 1 species
CUUCGUCACCCGGUCUCUGCUCCCCUCCCCACCCCCCGAAUUCUUGACGGGCAUCGGGAACGGGACGGGGAAGGAAGGAGACCGAAGUGGCUGGGAAAGGAGGGCAAUCCGCAGUCAACCCAGAGACUGAAACGCCGUGGGAGUGAUUUGCAGCGUCCUGCCCCGCCGCCGCUAUCCACUCAUUUUCCAGAUGUCUACACUCCACAUAUGGUAGGAUUAUGGAAUACCAGCAUAUCAAGAGAGAAGCAACUUAGUGAUACCAACAGGGGAAGCAAGUUUGGAUUGGGAUGUAUUCCAAACAAUCUCUGACAGCAG